rnacentral:rRNA from 1 species
UACGGAGGGUGCAAGCGUUAUCCGGAUUCACUGGGUUUAAAGGGAGCGUAGGUGGGUUGGUAAGUCAGUGGUGAAAUCCCCGAGCUUAACUUGGGAACUGCCAUUGAUACUAUCAGUCUUGAAUACUGUGGAGGUUAGCGGAAUAUGUCAUGUAGCGGUGAAAUGCUUAGAUAUGACAUAGAACACCAAUUGCGAAGGCAGCUGGCUACACAAAUAUUGACACUGAGGCUCGAAAGCGUGGGGAGCGAACAGG